AGACAGCCCAAGGAUGCUUUUGAAUUUCUCAUUUUCCUGGCUCCACUUUCUGAGGGCUGUGAUCACAGCUAAAUUUCUAGGGUUCUGUAUGAUUUCACCUUGCCUGUCACAUCUGUCAUACUUCACUUACCAGGAGGAAGUCACUGAAUCCAAGCCACAUAAAGGAGGGCAUCACUUACGGGUACAAGUACACCAGGAAGUGGGCUCGUCGUUGGGAGUUAACUGUCACAAAACUGAUCUGGCAAGCACUGAGCUGAGCCUUUUACCUGCAGGACUUCACUUAACCCUCAUGCUGACCUAUGGCAGUGGUAUCAACACUACUUGAAAACAUGGGGACAAGCGCCAAGUGGCUAAACUGCUUGCUCACACCCAUGGACUAUGAUUCAGCGGGUCUCAACCUGUGAGUCACAUGUCAGAUAUUCUACAUAUCAAGUGUUUCAUUAUGAUUAAUAACAGUAGCAAAAUUACAGUUAUGAAGUAGCAACAAAUUGAUCUUGUGACUGGGUGGAGGGUCACCACAACAUGAAUGGUAUUAAGGGGUGGCAGUGUUAAGAAGACAGAGUCAGGCUGGAGAGAUGGCUCAGUGGUUAGGGGCACUGACUGCUCUUCCAGAGGUCUUGAGUUCAAAUCCCAGCAACCACAUGGUGGCUCACAACCAUCUGUAACGGGAUCCAAUGCCUUCUUUUGGUGUGUCCAAAGACAGCUACAGUGUAUUUAUACAUACAUAAAAUAAAUUAAAAAAAAAAAAAAAA
rnacentral:lncRNA from 1 species